rnacentral:rRNA from 1 species
UGAGGAAUAUUGGUCAAUGGGCGAGAGCCUGAACCAGCCAAGUCGCGUGAGGGAAGACGGUCCUACGGAUUGUAAACCUCUUUUGUCGGGGAGCAAUAAAGCGUACGCGUACGCAGAUGCGAGUACCCGAAGAAAAGCAUCGGCUAACUCCGUGCCAGCAGCCGCGGUAAUACGGAGGAUGCGAGCGUUAUCCGGAUUUAUUGGGUUUAAAGGGUGCGCAGGCGGAAAGUGCAAGUCAGCGGUCAAACGACGGGGCUCAACCCCGUCUCGCCGUUGAAACUGUCUUUCUAGAGUGAGCGAGAAGUAUGCGGAAUGCGUGGUGUAGCGGUGAAAUGCAUAGAUAUCACGCAGAACUCCGAUUGCGAAGGCAGCAUACCGGCGCUCAACUGACGCUCAUGCGCGAAAGCGUGGGUAUCGAACAGGAUUAGAUACC